rnacentral:rRNA from 1 species
GGGGGCUAGCGUUGCUCGGAAUCACUGGGCGUAAAGGGUGCGUAGGCGGGUCUUUAAGUCAGGGGGGAAAUCCUGGAGCUCAACUCCAGAACUGCCUUUGAUACUGGCGACCUUGAGUCCGGGAGAGGUGAGUGGAACUGCGAGUGUAGAGGUGAAAUUCGUAGAUAUUCGCAAGAACACCAGUGGCGAAGGCGGCUCACUGGCCCGGUACUGACGCUGAGGUGCGAAAGCGUGGGGAGCAAACAGG